ensembl:lincRNA A530076I17Rik RIKEN cDNA A530076I17 gene
GGAGCCUAGAUGGCAAGCUGUGUGUGCUGCACGGGAUGGAGCUGGAGAAGUGACCCAAGCCCCUUGGAGAAGCCCAGAAGAUCGAGGCCACAGUUGAACAACUUUGAACUUUUGAAGAGAUUUUUGGAUUUUAAUAGAGACUUUUUUUUUAAAGAUUGAAUUUUAAGUAUUUGAAUUUGUAAAGAUGUUCUAAGUCCGUAAAAUGUUUAUCUUAGGAUGUUUAUAUUAAUGUGUGAUCUUUGGGAUAAACAAUAAAGGAAAGGUUGUAGCUUAAGAGUGAUAUGUUUGUGUGCCAAGUUGACAAGAAGUCAGUUGUGCUGGCUAAUUUUAUGUCAGCUUCACACAAGCUAGUGUAAGUCAAAUAAGCCCUUUCCUUCCCACAUUGCUUCUGGUCCUGGUGUUUCAUCACAGCAAAAUUAACCCUAACAAGCACGUUCUAAUUGCAUAUUUAUCCUUCUUUAAAAUGAUAAUGAAUUUCAGAGUUCACCUUUCUGGCUUAGAGUUACUAAGUUAUCAACUUAGAAAACUCCCAGAAAGUUGGACUUACCCAAUUAACAUUGAUUUUGAUCUAAUGGGGCUUUCAUGAUAUUUGAUAAAUUUGUAUGGUCCAAAGAACUAUAGGUCCCCUAAGGAAUAUCCCUAAGCUUACUGAAAAAUGUGCUAAAGUUCAGUUCCCAGAACCCCAUGGACAGGGACAAGGGCACCAGGACGCUCCAUAGUAUUGAAUUGUGCAGAGUGCAGACUUACAACAAGGACUCCCUGUGAGCUGAAAUUCAUGCCCAUGGCCUUUCCAAAAAGAAGGAACAAAAAAGAACUUGUGAACAGCUCUAGAAAAAAAAAAGUGUGUGUGUGUGGGCUUUUUCAGGCCCUUCCAGGACAGAGAAGUUGGGUUCCUUCCCCUGACCUCCAUGGGGAUUGGCCAAGAGUUCUGAGAAGACGGUUUUGCAACUAAGAAAUCACAAGGCUGGAGUGAAAUGAAAACAAGCAAGGUCCUUUAUCAGCUGAGGACCGUUGGCUCUACUCUGUAGGACUUCAGACAGAGGAAAAUCAAGAGCUAAAGCAGAAAAAUGUUGCAACAUAGGAAAGACUCCCUUUGCAUGAUGUGCCUGCUACCAACUAUGACAGAUGACAGUCACGGGAGCCACCACCAAAGGGUCCAUGUAUGCUGUCUCACUUUGCAUUUAAUAAUACCCACCUCUACAAAGAAAGGCAAGUAUAUCAGCCCUGUGCUGGAUGUUGAGUCCAAGUGCACAGGUCACAGACCUUGCAUCUGUUUGCAGUGUACAUGGGAUUUUUAUGAUAUCUGUUGAUAAUAAUUUUAUUCAAAUAUGCUUAUUCUCAUGGUCAUAUCAGGAGACUUCUUCAAGAAAAUCGAUCUUUAAAACAUAUAGGCUUAAAUCGUAUUUUAAAAUAUUAUAUUUCAUUUGGCUUUACUUAUUUUGAAAGCUAUUUUAAUGAUACAAAUACCAUACAGUGUAUGUUUGUCAUAUAAAUUUCAAAUAAUGUAAAACCUAAAGUCAACCUUUACUUACUCCCCAAUAUCCAGAAUAAGAAUGUGGGUACUUUUGGAAAUGAUUCUUUCAGAAUUUUACAGUGAUCUACAUCUACAAAAAGAAAGGUGUAGAAAUACUCUUGACUAUGUAUGUAACAUGUAUGUUAUAUAUGUAUGUGUAUAAAUUUACAUAUAUACUGUGCAGUUGUUUUAUUGUAACAAUAAAAUCGUAGGUUACUGUUUUAU